rnacentral:rRNA from 1 species
UACGGAGGGUGCGAGCGUUGUUCGGAAUCACUGGGCGUAAAGCGCGUGUAGGCGGCCUUGUAAGUCUGGUGUGAAAGCCCGGGGCUUACCCCCGGAAGUGCACUGGAAACUGUGAGGCUAGAGUACCGGAGAGGAGGGUGGAAUUCCUGGUGUAGCGGUGAAAUGCGUAGAUAUCAAGCGGAACACCGGUGGCGAAGGCGGCCUUCUGGACAGUGACUGACGCUGAGACGCGAAAGCGUGGGGAGCAAACAGG